rnacentral:rRNA from 1 species
UACGUAGGGUGCAAGCGUUAAUCGGAAUUACUGGGCGUAAAGCGUGCGCAGGCGGUUUCGUAAGUCUGUCGUGAAAUCCCCGGGCUUAACCUGGGAAUGGCGAUGGAGACUGCAAGGCUAGAGUUUGGCAGAGGGGGGUAGAAUUCCACGUGUAGCAGUGAAAUGCGUAGAUAGUGUGGAGGAACACCGAUGGCGAAGGCAGCCCCCUGGGUCAAAACUGACGCUCAUGCACGAAAGCGUGGGGAGCAAACAGG